GAUUCGCUCAGGAUGAACGCUGGCGGCGUGCCUAAUACAUGCAAGUCGAGCGAACAGACGAGGAGCUUGCUCCUCUGACGUUAGCGGCGGACGGGUGAGUAACACGUGGGUAACCUACCUAUAAGACUGGGAUAACUCCGGGAAACCGGGGCUAAUACCGGAUAACACAUGAAACCGCAUGGUUUCAUGAUGAAAGACGGUUUUGCUGUCACUUAUAGAUGGACCCGCGGCGUAUUAGCUAGUUGGUAAGGUAACGGCUUACCAAGGCAACGAUACGUAGCCGACCUGAGAGGGUGAUCGGCCACACUGGAACUGAGACACGGUCCAGACUCCUACGGGAGGCAGCAGUAGGGAAUCUUCCGCAAUGGGCGAAAGCCUGACGGAGCAACGCCGCGUGAGUGAUGAAGGUCUUCGGAUCGUAAAACUCUGUUAUUAGGGAAGAACAAGGAUGUAAGUAACUAUGCAUCCCUUGACGGUACCUAAUCAGAAAGCCACGGCUAACUACGUGCCAGCAGCCGCGGUAAUACGUAGGUGGCAAGCGUUAUCCGGAAUUAUUGGGCGUAAAGCGCGCGUAGGCGGUUUUUUAAGUCUGAUGUGAAAGCCCACGGCUCAACCGUGGAGGGUCAUUGGAAACUGGAAAACUUGAGUGCAGAAGA
rnacentral:rRNA from 1 species